rnacentral:rRNA from 1 species
UACGUAGGGGGCAAGCGUUGUUCGGAAUUACUGGGCGUAAAGAGCGCGCAGGCGGCUGGGCAAGUCCGAUGUGAAAGCUUCCGGCUUAACUGGAAAAUUGCAUCGGAAACUGCUCGGCUUGAAGGUGGGAGAGGGUAGCGGAAUUCCCGGUGUAGUGGUGAAAUGCGUAGAUAUCAGGAGGAACACCUGCGGUGUAGACGGCUUACUGGACCGUAACUGACGCUGAGGCACGAAAGCGUGGGUAGCAAACAGG